CCCUAUUUGGUGCAGUGGGUAGUGCGCUCGGCUGCGGAGCCGUAGGUCGCUGGUUCGAUUCCCCUGCCGGAGGCU